CUUCUCUCCACAUGGAGGAGACAGGAGCAGCGGAGGCAGAGAGAAGCCCCGCCCACAGCAUGUCCCGACCACAGACUUCAGUCUAUGCAGCCCUUACUGUGGUUUUGGGUUCUAUUAUGCGCUUAUAUUUUAUGAUCUACGGUAGCUUUACUCCGAGUUUCAUCUUGCCUCCAUCCUGGUCCUGAGCGGCACAAGUACCUGUUUGGGUACGUGGCCAUGGUUACCAAUCAAGCCGACUUGGGCCUUAAAAAGAGGUUGCGCAAUGACGUACUUCCGAGACCGGACGAAGCACAUCCUUGUGGGAAAUACCGGUAUUGUCUCUUAGCGCUUCCUGCGACAUGCUGUGCCUGUGACCCCGGACUCCCGGACACUACUACCGAUACCCAGCGGACAAUUGACUUGGAUCACUGUUUAGUUCGUCAAUCAAGAGAAAAUGGGAAGGAAAUCCUAUGUGUGGUCAUGGAGAGCAUUCGGACAACUCGCCAGUGUUCUCUGUCUGUCCAUGCUGGUAUGUGGGGAGAAGCCAUGAGGUUUUACAUAAUUGAUGAGAAAAACCACAAAGGGCGCGACAAAGCUAUUGUAUUUCCCGCGCACACAACCAUAGCGUUUAGUAGCUUUGAUCUGUACAUUCAUCUGGAUGGUCACUUUGGCUUAAUUCCAAUGCGAUCGGGAGGAAGUUCACAUCGGAGGUAGUAGGGGCAAAACUAUCAAGCAAGGGAAAUGUCAAGCUACCACUUCUGCAGGAAGGCUAUUCCAUGCAUCCACUACUCUCUCAGAAAAGAACAUCAACCCUGAAGAACAUCAACCCUGACAAUGCUGAAGAGCUAAAAAAAAAAAUACAUGCAGUGGAACUUUCAGAUAGAAAACAGGCUUGAACCACCUCUUUCCCCGGCUAGGGGACAACUACAGUAACUAUUGGCCAGGGAAUUUGCAUGUGACUAGAUUCUGCUUUCUACUGUACAAAUAUGCAAUACACGAUGAGACAACUUUUGCUAAAAAAAAAAAUGUAAUAAAAUAACCCUUUGCAAACUGGAGAACUCAGUGUAUGCAUGUUAUUAAAGAAAAUUCUAGACAGGCACAUAUGCAACAUAGAAAACAAAGUUAUUUAGGCCUGUAGCACCUGAAACAAACACUCUUAUGUCCAGCAAACCUUAAAGUACCUCAGCCAUCCUACUACAAGGCUACUACAACUGUUUAUCCAGUAAAUUGGAAUAGUUCACUGCUGGAAGCAUAGAUUGGCAUAUUGUGCAAUCUAUGAGGGAGUUUACUAUGAGCCCUUUCAUACACUCCUACUAUUUAAUAUAGGCUCUUGGUUAGUCCUUCAAAUUUGCGUCUCCUACAGUCACCAUGAGGGUUUCAUUAAGGUUUUUUUUAGAGCCUCUAUUUUUAGCCAAUUGAUUAUUGAAAGCUAGAAUAAAGCUCAACUAGUCACAAUCUUACUGUAACUGUGGUUGUAUAUGUGUUUCCCAGUGUAUUUUGGCUUUGUGUCACUUGAAAUAAA